rnacentral:misc_RNA from 1 species
UUGAUCAAUCUCUACUUUUUAUGAAGUUUCUAACCUUCUGGGUCUGUUCAAUUCACGAUUUCUGGUGGACACUGUCUUCUUCGAAGCAGGGGAUACCAUUUUCUUUUAGACCCAGUUUGGAUUAGUCGAAACUUCUUUUGUUCGUCGAUGAUCGAAACUGCGUCGUUUGAUCGUUCAAUUUCUCUGUAGAGGAACGGAAACGAAUAUCCCAGAGACGGAUUCAAAAAGCUUGUCAUCACUACCAUCCUUGUUCCUUUCUUGGAAGGCUGAGUUUUUCUCUGCUGCUGGCAACAUGGGGUGCUAUGCUAGCAAGAAUGCAGAUUCAAAGGCCAGCAGAGUGGCUCGAUGGCGAGCUACUGGUAUCGUGGCUUUGCGAGAUUCAAAGUUGAAGACAUUUCCCGAUGAAGUUCUUGACAUGGACAGAUCUGUCCGCACGCUUGAUUUAACAAACAAUAGAAUAGUUGAUAUCCCUAUGGAAGUCUGCAAAUUAAUAAACAUGCAGCGUCUGGUUUUGGCAGAUAACCUUAUUGAGCGUCUACCAAUGAAUUUGGGGAAGCUCCAAUCUCUAAAAGUUAUGAUACUUGAUGGAAAUCACAUUACGACAUUACCUGAUGAAUUGGGUCAACUAGUAAGGCUCGAACGUCUAUCUAUCUCCCG